GAUGAAGAACGUAGCGAAAUGCGAUAAGUAAUGUGAAUUGCAGAAUUCAGUGAAUCAUCGAAUCUUUGAACGCACAUUGCGCCCGCUAGUAUUCUGGCGGGCAUGCCUGUCCGAGCGUCAUUUCAACCCUCAAGCCCCCGGGCUUGGUGUUGGGGAUCGGCGAGCCUCCGCGCCCGCCGUCCCCUAAAUCUAGUGGCGGUCUCGCUGUAGCUUCCUCUGCGUAGUAGCACACCUCGCACUGGGAAACAGCGCGGCCACGCCGUUAAACCCCCAACUUCUGAACGUUUGACCUCGGAUCAGGUAGGAAUACCCGCUGAACUUAAGCAUAUCAAUAAGCGGGG
rnacentral:misc_RNA from 1 species